UGCGGAAGAGAGGCGUCGUGUGCUGUGUUCUUUUGAUUCAUCAGGAUUUCGUAGAAUAACCACAGUGCCUUUUAUUAUCAUGAGUAAUUUCUCUCACUUUGCAACGAAAGCUAUUCACAUUGGUAACGAACCUGAUAAAUGGAAAUGCCAUGCUGUUGUACCACCGAUAUUUCUAUCUACAACAUUUGAACAACAAGAACCGGCAGUCAAAUAUGUAAGAUUUUUAUCGACGAUUUUUACAUAUCUACCUUUAUAGUAUAUGUUAGUAUGUAAACC